rnacentral:rRNA from 1 species
CCUACGGGAGGCAGCAGUAGGGAAUUUUCGGCAAUGGGGGGAACCCUGACCGAGCAACGCCGCGUGAACGAAGAAGUUAUUCGUAAUGUAAAGCUCUUUUAACAGGGGAGAAAGAGAAAUUUGACGGUACCUGAAGAAUAGGCCCCGGCUAACUACGUGCCAGCAGCCGCGGUAAUACGUAGGGAGCGAGCGUUAUCCUGAAUUAUUGGGCGUAAAGGGUGCGUAGAUGGCAUAGUAAGUCUUUUGUAAAAAUGCUGGGCUCAACCCAGUAGGGCAAAAGAUAUUGCAAAGCUAGAGUGUGACAGAAGCAAGCGGAACUAGUUGUGUAGCGGUGAAAUGCGUAAAUAUAAGUAAGAACACCAGUGGCGAAGGCGGCUUGCUGGGUCCAUACUGACAUUGAUGCACGAAAGCGUGGGGAGCGAACAGGAUUAGAUACCCCUGUAGUC